rnacentral:rRNA from 1 species
UGUUUCGGCUAGGGGGCCAUCCCGGCUUACCAACCCGAUGCAAACUGCGAAUACCGGAGAAUGUUAUCACGGGAGACACACGGCGGGUGCUAACGUCCGUCGUGAAGAGGGAAACAACCCAGACCGCCAGCUAAGGUCCCAAAGUCAUGGUUAAGUGGGAAACGAUGUGGGAAGGCCCAGACAGCCAGGAUGUUGGCUUAGAAGCAGCCAUCAUUUAAAGAAAGCGUAAUAGCUCACUGGUCGAGUCGGCCUGCGCGGAAGAUGUAACGGGGCUAAACCAUGCACCGAAGCUGCGGCAGCGACACUCAGGUGUUGUUGGGUAGGGGAGCGUUCUGUAAGCCUGUGAAGGUGGCCUGUGAGGGUUGCUGGAGGUAUCAGAAGUGCGAAUGCUGACAUAAGUAACGAUAAAGCGGGUGAAAAGCCCGCUCGCCGGAAGACCAAGGGUUCCUGUCCAACGUUAAUCGGGGCAGGGUGAGUCGACCCCUAAGGCGAGGCCGAAAGGCGUAGUCGAUGGGAAACGGGUUAAUAUUCCCGUACUUGGUGUUACUGCGAAGGGGGGACGGAGAAGGCUAUGUUGGCCGGGCGACGGUUGUCCCGGUUUAAGCGUGUAGGUGUGUGUUCCAGGUAAAUCCGGUUCACUUUAACACUGAGGCGUGACGACGAGGCACUACGGUGCUGAAGCAACAAAUGCCCUGCUUCCAGGAAAAGCCUCUAAGCAUCAGGUAACAUCAAAUCGUACCCCAAACCGACACAGGUGGUCAGGUAGAGAAUACCAAGGCGCUUGAGAGAACUCGGGUGAAGGAACUAGGCAAAAUGGUGCCGUAACUUCGGGAGAAGGCACGCUGACAUGUAGGUGAAGUGAUUUACUCAUGGAGCUGAAGUCAGUCGAAGAUACCAGCUGGCUGCAACUGUUUAUUAAAAACACAGCACUGUGCAAACACGAAAGUGGACGUAUACGGUGUGACGCCUGCCCGGUGCCGGAAGGUUAAUUGAUGGGGUCAGCGCAAGCGAAGCUCCUGAUCGAAGCCCCGGUAAACGGCGGCCGUAACUAUAACGGUCCUAAGGUAGCGAAAUUCCUUGUCGGGUAAGUUCCGACCUGCACGAAUGGCGUAAUGAUGGCCAGGCUGUCUCCACCCGAGACUCAGUGAAAUUGAACUCGCUGUGAAGAUGCAGUGUACCCGCGGCAAGACGGAAAGACCCCGUGAACCUUUACUAUAGCUUGACACUGAACAUUGAGCCUUGAUGUGUAGGAUAGGUGGGAGGCUUUGAAGUGUGGACGCCAGUCUGCAUGGAGCCGACCUUGAAAUACCACCCUUUAAUGUUUGAUGUUCUAACGUGGACCCGUGAUCCGGGUUGCGGACAGUGUCUGGUGGGUAGUUUGACUGGGGCGGUCUCCUCCUAAAGAGUAACGGAGGAGCACGAAGGUUGGCUAAUCCUGGUCGGACAUCAGGAGGUUAGUGCAAUGGCAUAAGCCAGCUUGACUGCGAGCGUGACGGCGCGAGCAGGUGCGAAAGCAGGUCAUAGUGAUCCGGUGGUUCUGAAUGGAAGGGCCAUCGCUCAACGGAUAAAAGGUACUCCGGGGAUAACAGGCUGAUACCGCCCAAGAGUUCAUAUCGACGGCGGUGUUUGGCACCUCGAUGUCGGCUCAUCACAUCCUGGGGCUGAAGUAGGUCCCAAGGGUAUGGCUGUUCGCCAUUUAAAGUGGUACGCGAGCUGGGUUUAGAACGUCGUGAGACAGUUCGGUCCCUAUCUGCCGUGGGCGCUGGAGAACUGAGGGGGGCUGCUCCUAGUACGAGAGGACCGGAGUGGACGCAUCACUGGUGUUCGGGUUGUCAUGCCAAUGGCACUGCCCGGUAGCUAAAUGCGGAAGAGAUAAGUGCUGAAAGCAUCUAAGCACGAAACUUGCCCCGA